AUGAACGCUGGCGGCGUGCUUAACACAUGCAAGUCGAACGAAGCACUUUAUUUGAUUUCCUUCGGGACUGAUUAUUUUGUGACUGAGUGGCGGACGGGUGAGUAACGCGUGGGUAACCUGCCUUGUACAGGGGGAUAACAGUUGGAAACGGCUGCUAAUACCGCAUAAGCGCACAGCAUCGCAUGGUGCAGUGUGAAAAACUCCGGUGGUAUAAGAUGGACCCGCGUUGGAUUAGCUAGUUGGUGAGGUAACGGCCCACCAAGGCGACGAUCCAUAGCCGACCUGAGAGGGUGACCGGCCACAUUGGGACUGAGACACGGCCCAAACUCCUACGGGAGGCAGCAGUGGGGAAUAUUGCACAAUGGGCGAAAGCCUGAUGCAGCGACGCCGCGUGAGCGAAGAAGUAUUUCGGUAUGUAAAGCUCUAUCAGCAGGGAAGAUAAUGACGGUACCUGACGAAGAAGCACCGGCUAAAUACGUG
rnacentral:rRNA from 1 species